rnacentral:lncRNA from 1 species
CCCAAUAAUGUUCUUUUUUUCUUCCCCUCCCCCUUCAUUUAACAGUGCUGCUGAGUGAUGGCAUGGCCCUGGGGGGGUCCCAACAUUGGGGCCCCCCAGGGGGGGAGAGGAGCUUAAAGGAUCCCCCCACAACCAAUGUUUGGAGAGGAACUGAAGGAGGGGGGGGCCACAUGCCCCCCCCUCCGCCAAACAUAACCCCCCUGCCAUCCGAUAGGCCCCCCCCCCCAAACAAAGAUAACAACCAAAGGGGGAAAGGGGGGGAGGGGGAGGUUGGAACACUGCCCCUCCCCCCCCAUCACCAACAGGGGACCCCAAAAUAGUGCCCCCCCCCCAACUUCCAGGUGCUUAAAAUGGGGGGGGGCACCCAAAUGUUCCCCAUAUAUUCCCUCCCCAUUACAUCACCCCCCAAUCAGAGCCCCUCCCAUCGCCCCCCAUAUAUUGCCCCCCAUGUAUUACCCCCCCAAUCAGAGCCCCCUCAAAUCAGACUCCCCCAGUAUGAGCCCACCCCCCCCCCAGAACCCCACUCUUUGUCCCCCCCUCCCAGUUUUGGGGACCCCCCACACACAUUCGUGCCUUCACCCCCCCCAACUAAAGGACCCCCCCCCCAGUACUCAGAUCCUCCCCCCCACCAUGGGGGUCUCUGAGGGGAGGGGGGGGGGGUAAGAAAUGCCCCUUUGGGGGGGGCGAACCCUGUGCCCCAUCCCCCACAUUCACCUGGGACCACCCCUCCCCUCCCCCCAUUUUUAUAUAGGUCCGUCCUGCAUUGCACGGGGAAGUCCUCGUGCAAGAAUGUGGUGCUAAAGCCUCGUGCAAGGCCAGGCCUCGUGCAAGGGCCUGGUGCGAGAGCUGUGCUUGUGCAAGAGGCAUCCUUGUGCAAGAACCUGGUGCUAGAGCCUCGUGCAAGAGCUGCCCUCGUGCAAGGGCCUGGUGUGAGUCACACUUGUGAAGGGCCCACUGUUGUGCAAGAGAUGCCCUUGUGCAAGAACCUGGUGCUAGAGCUUAAUGUAGGAGCUGCCCUCGUGCAAGGGCCCGGUGCGAGAGUCACUCUCGUGCAAGAGGUGUUCUCAUGUGAAAACUUGGUGCUACGGCCUCGUGCAAUUGCUGCCCAAGUGCAAGGGCUCAGUGCUAGAGCUGCCCUCGUGCAAGAGCCACUCUUGUGUCAUAGUAGAAGAGCCGUGUGCAAGAGACACGUCUGCACCGGCUGUGCUAGUGCAAGAACCUCGUGCAAGACCUGUCCCUGUGCAAGAAUCACCUCUGUGAAGGAUCUGCGCCGUGCAAGAGCUGCCCUGGUGUAAGAUCUGCUCUCAUUUAAUAUAUGUCCUCGUGCAAGAGCCUGGUGCAAGAGAUGCAUGCAGGAUGGGAUCUGCCCUCGUGCAAGAGCCUCGUGCAAGGUCUGCGUGCAAGAGCCACCCUUGUGAAGGAUCAGCCUUGUGCGAGAGCUGCCCUCGUGCAAGAGCCAACCUUAUGCCGCAGCACGAGAGCCCCGUGCAAGAGACGGCCUCGUGUCAGCCCCAUCCUCGUGCAAGUGCCCUGUGCAAGAGCCUUCACACACUUCGUGCCUGCCGUAGUGCAACAGCCUCGUGCAAGAACUGCCCUGGUGUAAGAGCACACCUUGGAUAAGAGACACUUGAGAGCCCCACCCUCGUGCAAAGCCCACCCUCGUGCAAGAGAAGCCCCUCGUGCAACAGCCUCGUGCCCCCUUCCCCUCCCCCCCCUUCAAGCUGUGAUGGGGGAGGGAGGAGGGGGACCCCCCCAGUGCCACACGAGGGCUGUGGUGUCACACGAGGGCUCCCAUUGGUGUCACACGAGGGGGUCCCGGAGGUCACACUGCGUCACGUGACCCCUCGUGUCACACAGCGGCCCCCAACGUCCCACAACAACCCCUGGUGACGUCACACGAGGGCGGGGCCAAGAGCCGCUGCCACCCACACGCACACCCCCAACCCUCCCCCCCCUCCCCACCACCCCCUUUUGCUUUGGGGGGGCCCCUGUACUGCGCCCCCCCCCACCCCCCCGGCAAUGCUGUACCCCCACCCCAUAAACAACCCUGAACCAAUGGUGGCUCCGCCUCUACUUGGGGACAUUGGGGACAUGGCCCUUCUGGUACCUCUUCACACCCCUCUCUAUGGUACUUCCACCCCUUUUUGGUGGUCCUCC